rnacentral:rRNA from 1 species
UCAGGAUGAACGCUAGCUACAGGCUUAACACAUGCAAGUCGAGGGGGAAACGAUAUUGGAAGCUUGCUUCUGAUAGGCGUCGACCGGCGCACGGGUGAGUAACGCGUAUCCAACCUGCCCAUCACUUGGGGAUAACCUUGCGAAAGUAAGACUAAUACCCAAUGACGUCUCUAGAAGACAUCUGAAAGAGAUUAAAGAUUUAUCGGUGAUGGAUGGGGAUGCGUCUGAUUAGCUUGUUGGCGGGGUAACGGCCCACCAAGGCGACGAUCAGUAGGGGUUCUGAGAGGAAGGUCCCCCACAUUGGAACUGAGACACGGUCCAAACUCCUACGGGAGGCAGCAGUGAGGAAUAUUGGUCAAUGGACGAGAGUCUGAACCAGCCAAGUAGCGUGCAGGAUGACGGCCCUAUGGGUUGUAAACUGCUUUUAUAAGGGAAUAAAGUGGGAGUCGUGACUCUUUUUGCAUGUACCUUAUGAAUAAGGACCGGCUAAUUCCGUG